GUCUAUCCUAAAGGAAAUCAGUCCUGAAUAUUUAUUGGAAGGGACUGAUGCUGAAGCUGAAACUGUAAUCCUUUGGCCACCUGAUUCGAAGAACUGACUCAUUUGAAAAGACCCUGCUGCUGGGAAAGAUUGAAGGUGGGAGAAGAAGGGGACAACAGAGGAUGAGAUGGUUGGAUGGCAUCACCAGCUCAAUGGACAUAAGUUUGUGUAAGCUCCGGGAGUUUGUGAUAGACAGGGAGGCCUGGCGUGCUGCAGUUCAUGGGCUCACAAAGAGUCAGACACGACUGAGCGACUGAAUUGAACUGAAUGUUUGAGAUGAGCCUUGAAGAAGAAAGAAUAUUACACAGGGGAAGAGAAUUAUAAAAAAUAGCAGCAUGAGAGGGCAGGAUAAAAAGCAGGAUGUUUUCAGUGAGCAGAUAAUUGAACACUAAAAUCUCAUCACAUGGAGUCAACCAAAUGCCUGUAAUCAAUGGAUACUCCUAGUCUGGUCAACAAAAUCUGAGGUUUCUUUGACAGGGACUAGAAUCACUUCAGAGGUGAAGAGCAGGGAAAGGGUGGACUAGGGAUCCCUUAGCUUGAGUGUGUGGUUAAUUCUUGUACACUUAACACUUCCAGCAUAUUUCUAUUACCCUGACUUCAAAAUGGAAAAGUUCUACGGGGCGUAUGGUUUUCUGAAUCAGCAAAGGAGAAGGGUGAUUCCAGAGAUGUCUCAGACAUCUAGAGCCUGUUCUUAAUGUCCACCUUGAUAAAAGCUGGACAGGGAUACAAGGGUGAGGGGCGAGACUACUACCUGGGGCCUGCUGGAAAGAGUGAAGAGAGUCAGCCAGGCCCCAGGGGAUCCUUUUGAUGGGUCACUGUGGUACCACUCACAGCCAUUCCAUCAGGCCUCUUACUUGAGGGAUAACCAGAUGUCACCCCCAACUUCUCUAAGCUCUAGUCCUAGUUUUCUAAUGACUGUUAGACAUACCCAGGAUUUAAUAAGGCUCAACUUUAACAUUUCUAAAAUAAGCCUCUUUCCAUAACUGGCUUCCCUUUCUGACUGCUUUACUUCCAACAAGAGUACUCCAUUUUCACAUUAACCCAGGCUUAACAUUUUCAUAAUCUCCCUCUAUUUCACAUUAAUUCUCACAUCCACUCAUCUACCAAGUUUGGUCAAUUCUUCCUCUGCAAAGACUCACUCCUCCUGUUUCCACUCUCACACUCAGACAUCAAGCCCCUAUCACCCUGUGCCUGUACCGCUUAAGUAAUUUUUUUCCUCUGGUCUUCUUAUCUCCAGUCUCCCCACUGUCCACUAUAUGCUGCAGAUUACCUUUUCCCAAACCUCUUUAUCAUGUCACACUUUGCCCAAGAAUGAAAAGUCAUUCUUUAUAGGUUGCAUGAUGGAGUAGUAAGUUUACCUUAUAAACAAGAUCUUUCACAACUGGGCCAAACUUACUGUCUCAGCAGACACUACAGUCUUCCUGCUUUUCACACUAUUAUUCUCCAUACCUGUACCAUCUUUUCUUCUUCUAUGGUCUCCACACCUAGCUGAGAUACUUCCCCUCUUGAAGAAUACCACUACUACAUAAAAAGCAAGGCCACACAAAUACUGUUAUUACAUGAAUGCUGUUACUACAUAGUUAACAUGUAUGGAGCACUUUCUGCUGAGUCCUUUGCUAAUUAUGUUAUGCAAAUAAUCUCAUUUUAAUUCUCACAACCAUCCUAUAAAGUACAUCCCUGGUUUUCACAGGGGAGAAGUAAAGCAUGAUAACAUUGAGCAGCCUGUCACUGUCAUAUAUCCUUAAGUAGAUGAGCUACUUAAGGUGAGGUUCUGAUUUCAGAACCUGGGCACCAUUAGUCUUCAUGCUCCCAGAGAAGGACUUGUCUCUCCAAACCUGAAGAAUUUAUUAAAUGUACUACUUAAUUGGCAUUCAUUCUAUAGGACACCAUCACCAAUAAAUCACAUAGGGCUGUUGAAUUAACUAUUUAGAUGAACAAAUUUAAUACAUUAUAUAAUCAGGGAGGGUGAUUCUUUGGGAGAAUCACCCUGGUGAGAUAUCUAUUAAGAGCUUUUAUGAUGUGUUCAUAUGCACUGUCCUCUAUUAAGUAUCCACUGUGUUUUAAGCUGCUUAAAAGAAAGCCUAUACCUUGUAAUUCUCUGUAUUCCUCUAAUAUCUUGUACAUGAUUAGCAUUUGAUAAAUAUUUUCCAGCUGAUGAAUAAACUAACUAAUCUAUCAUUCAAC
ensembl:lncRNA